UUUUAUUUGUAAUAUCCCCAAAUGCAAGCAAUCCAAAUGCUGAACAGGUAAACAGACAAGCAGAGUGUAGAAUAUAGAAUAUACAAUGGAAUAAACAAUUAUGAACUAGGUAUACCUGCAACGAUAUAAAUGAAUCUCAGAAUAACUAUUGAGUAGGGGAAGCCAGACUGAAGGAAAGAACGGAUGUUCCUUUUUAUGGCCGCUUAGCAUUCCAUGGUGUAUAGGUACCACAUUUUCUUCAUCCAAUCCACUGCUGAUGGGCAUCUAGGUUGAUUCCAUGUCUUUGCUAUUGUAAACAACGCUUUGAUGAACAUAUGGGUGCACGUGCCUUUUUGAUAAAAUGACUUACUUGCCUUUGGGUAUAUACCUAGUAAUGGAUUGCUGGGUCGAAUAGCAGUUCUAAGUGCUUUCAGAAAUCUCCAAACUGCCUUCCACAGUGGCUGAACUAGUUUUUAUUCCCAGCAAGUGUAUAAGGGUUCCCUCUUCCCCGCAGCCUCACAAGCAUUGGUUGUUUAUUGACUUUUUCAUAAUCGCCAUUCUGACCGGUGUGAGACGUUAUCUCAUUGUGGUCAUGUCCUUCGCAGCAACAUGGAUGGCAGCCAUUGUCCUAAGGAAUUAACCCAAGAAUGGGAAACCAAAUAACGCAUGUUCUCACUUAUAAGUGGGACCUAAACAUUGAAUACACAUAGACAUAAAGAUGGGAGCAGCAGACACUGGGGACGACUAGGGAGGGAGGGAGGCAGGGAGGGAGUGGAACAGAACGUGGGCUGAAAAACUACUACUCACUACCUGGGUGACUGGAUCAUCUGUACCCCAACCUUCAGCACCCUGCAAUAUACUCAUGAAACAAACCUGCACAUGUACCCUUUAAUCUAAAAUAAAAGUUGAAAUUGUUUUUUUAAAAAAGAGCACAUAGUAUAUUAUUCCAUUUACAUAAAAUUUUAGAAAACACAAAUGAAUGUGUUGACAAAUCAGUGGUUGCCUGGAGAAGGGGGAGUGCAGAGAGGUACAUGGGGAAUAAAUUAUAAAGGGACUGGAGGAGAUGUUUGGAGGUGGUGAAUGUGUUCACUAUGUUGAUUGCGGUGAUGAUUUCAUGGACGUACACAUCUGUAGAAACGUUGGUGUGUACAUAUGUUGUAUUCUCAAAUUGUCCACUCUGAGUACGAGCAGUGGGGAUUAAGAGGAAAAUAAUAGUAGAGAACAAAAUCAGAGCUUGGCAUGGCUCUCUGCUGGCACCGUGCAGGGUGUGAUUACAUCAGAUCUGUGCAACUCAGAUCUUGGGGAGGGGUUGGGGGGUGGAAGGUGGAGGGAGGAAGGGAGAGAAAACAGAGGGCGGGAAGAAGGGAAGGAAGUGAAGAAGGGAAUGAGGGACGGAAAGAGAGAGACAGCGAAGAGAGGAGAAAGCUCUUAGCAUAUGAAACUGCAGCUAGGACUAAAACCAGAGGAAGGCACACAGAAUCUUGACUGCUCUUCAGAAAUACAUGGCACUCCGUUAAAAUGAAGAUUUUUGCUGCUCACUCCAGAAAUAUUGAAUCAAAACGUGGAGCAGGAGACAGGCAAGGCCAGUGAAGGAGUGUGGCUCCGAUAGGAUUGACAACUACUACCUUAGAUGAUGAAUCAAGCUCAGAAGGGAUCCCUCUGGAUUUCCCUGCGCCAUGUAAGAAGUGCCUGCUUUCCCUUUGCCUUCUGCUAUGAUUGUUUCCUGAGGCCUCCCCAGUCAUGUUACCUGUACAGCCUGCAGAACUGUGAAGAAACCGAGGCAAUGAACAAAGUAAUAUACCCAAGAUCACAUUGCCAGUGAAUGGGAGAGCUGACGUUUCAAUCUACACAGAACCUGUGCUCUUAGCUAUCUAACCGCUUUACUUGGAAGUGAUGUGAGAUUAAAAAAAGAAGAAAAACAAAAUAUUUUCUUAUGCUUUCAAAAAGUUCAAAAGUAAGUUACAAGAUUUAUGCUGCAUUUUAAUCUAUGAUCUUGAUUACUCAUCAAUUGGAUUAUGUACCCACUUUUUUUUUUUUUUUUUUUUUGAGAUGGAGUCUCACUCUGUCUCCCAGGCUGGAGUGGAGUGCAGUGGUGUGAUCUUGGCUCACUGCAACCUCCACCUCUCUGGUUCAAGCAAUUCUCCCACCUCAGCCUCCCAAGUGGCUGGGGUUACAGGCCCACACCACCACGCCCAGCUAAUUUUUGUAUUUUUAGUAGAGACAGGGUUUUGCCAUGUUGGUUAGGCUGGUUUCAAUCUCCUGACCUCAGGUGAUCCUCCCACCUCAGCCUCCCAAAGUGCUAGGAUUCCAGUCAUAAGCCACUGUGCCCGGCCUGUAUUCACUAUUUAUUUUUAUUUUUUGAAAUUUUUGUGGGUACCCAGUAGGUGUAUACAUAUAUAUAUUUUAACUCUUGAAAAUUUUUGAAUAUUCACUAUUUUAUAACUCCAUACAAGUAUUUUAAACUAAUUUUCUGGUUUUUCUAGUUAUUAAUUUUUUUACCUUAACUCAAAUAAAGAAUAAUUUAAAAGGUGAAGUGUUACAAGUUAAGAGACUCAAGUUCUAGUCUUGGCUUUGCCAUGAAAUUACUGUGUGAAUUUGGUCUAGGCUUUGGUUUCCUCAUGUUUGUUAGCAUGUUCCUCUCUUUAGCUAAAACAGUUCAGUGUAUGUAAAGUGUCAUUCUAUGAACUGAAGAGAUCCUGCCUGUUGAGUUGCAGAUGGCUGGGCAGGUUGCCAAGGGGCUGGUUUCUCCAUGCUGGCUUUUGUGUCUGCAUGCUACAGUUCCCCCCGCACGUCUUGACUACUCACCAGCACAAGAUAUCACACAGACAUGCUUGAGCUGGCCAGGAUCCAGGAUGAUAUUUAGAAAGAAGAGAAUAAAAGCUUAAGGAUGAUCAAGUCCUCUUAAGUAAUAUUAAACAAAAGCAUACUAUUUUCCUUCUAAUUUCCUCUCAAGGCACUUCUCAUGUUAGCAAAGAAAAUGACAAGAUGAGUGUCAGCCUGUCAUAUUUUCUGAUGUAAUGUAUGGGCUAGUAGCUCAUCACAAAAUCAACCAUUUUAUAGGAACUAGAUAAGUUUCAGUGCCAAGCCUUGUUCUCAAGCAGCAGGAUGCCUGCUAAGCAGGGUCCAUAUAAGCUAGAGUUUUGAAAUUAUAGUGAUAUUUUUAUUUUAAGGCAUUCAAGAGCAAAAGCAAAUAGUGGAAGGUUCUCAUUCAUCAAAUGCAAUGACCUUAUUGUUUAGAAAAAAUAAGAUGUGACUAUUACCAAAAAUGCUAUUUUAAAAGUAUAAUCACCUUCUUUUCAGUCUGCCAUGAAAAUUCAUGGAGACCAAAAAUGAUUAAUACAUUAUUUUGUAACUUGCUACCCAAAACAGGGUGGUUUGUUUUCCAAAUUUUGUAUUCUUUGCAUAUUUAAAGUUACUUACUGAGAGUUUUCCAUGUGUAAGGAAUUGAAGGAACAAACUCACAAUCUCUGUUACAAGAUUUAAAAGAAAUUUUUGGAGGCACAUGAACAUCUGCAAUUUCAUUUGUAAAGUAUCCAAGAAUCUGUCGCCUUAGUAACAAUCAAAUGCAUUAAAUGCUAAACGCUGAUUAAAUAGAGUUGAAAAUGGAUUUGUUAGUUAUCCCUCUAAGAAUUUUAACUCCAGCCGCUAGCCCUCUCCUCCCCUUUGCAAUGCAACUAUGCCUUCAAAUAGUGUUCUUUAAAAGGAGGCUUUACGGCUUUGGAGGAAUAAGCUGAUUUCACAGCCAGUUUUGCCACUGCUGUGGAAAACAGAGUACACAUGCAAGACUGCUGAAGUCAUACAAACUGCAAGGAUUAUGGCUGUGGGGGCCUCCACAACUCCUGUCAAACUGCAAUUGGAAACAGCUUCUCCAAAGGACAACAUGAGAAAUCAGGAAUUCUUGUCCAUGGCUCCCCAACCUGCUGGGUUUCUAAUCAGGCCUGGCAUGACCCAUUAGAGAUCAGACAUAGGAAAAUCACAAUGAAACUAGGGUAUCUUCUGUUUUCCAAGCUUCACUCCCCCAGAUCCUUUUCAAGCCUGUAAUUAUUGUCUCUCACCAGUUAAUAAGGGAACCGUUUCUCCAUGGGGACAGGAGCUUCUGGAAGGCUGGACCCAAUCAUUACAGGCUCAGUCCAGGGCCUUUCCUUCACACCAACUACUGCAGCCACUCCCAGAGCCCCUGGAACUCCGGCCCAAGGCUCUCUGACUGACUCCUUCCCAGAUCUUCUCGGCUUAGCAGCUGAAGACUGACACUGCCCGAUCACCUCGGAAGCCCCCUAGACCAUCACGGACGCCGAGCUGCCAGUAACUCUCACAGUGGAAGGUAAGCCCAUCCCCUUCUUAAUCAAUACGGAGGCUACCCACUCCACAUUACCUUCUUUACAAAGGCCUGUUUCCCUUGCCUCCAUAACUGUUGUGGGUAUUGACGGCCAGGCUUCUAAAUCUCUUAAAACUCCCCAACUCUGGUGCCAACUUAGACAAUACUCUUUUAAGCACUCCUUUUUAGUUAUCCCCACCUGCCCAGUUCCCUUAUUAGGCCGAGACACUUUAACUAAAUUAUCUGCUUCCCUGACUAUUCCUGGGCUACAGCCACACCUCAUUACUGCCCUUCUUCCCAAUCCAAAGCCUCCUUUGCGUCCUCCUCUUGUAUCCCCCUACCUUAACCCACAAGUAUAAGAUACCUCUACUCCCUCCUUGGUGACCGAUCAUGCACCCCUUACCAUCUCAUUGAAACCUAAUCACCCUUACCCCGCUCAACGCCAAUAUCCCAUCCCACAGCAUGCUUUGAAAAGACUAAAGCCUGUUAUCACUCUCCUGCUACAGCAUGGCCUUUUAAAGCCUAUAAACUCUCCUUACAAUUCCCCCAUUUCACUUGUCCUAAAACCAGACAAGCCUUACAAGUUAGUUCAGGAUCUAUGCCUUAUCAACCACAUUGUUUUGCCUAUCCACCCCAUGGUGUCAAACCCAUAUACUCUCCUAUCCUCAAUACCUCACUCCAUAAUCCAUUAUUGUGUUCUGGAUCUCAAACAUGCUUUCUUUACUAUUCCUUUGCACCCUUCAUCCCAGCCUCUUUUCACUUUCACUUGGACUGACCCUGACACCCAUCAGGCUCAGCAAAUUACCUGGGCUGUACUGCCCCAAAGCUUCACAGACAGCCCCCA
rnacentral:lncRNA from 10 species